UACGUAGGGUGCGAGCGUUAAUCGGAAUUACUGGGCGUAAAGCGUGCGCAGGCGGUUUUGUAAGCCAGAUGUGAAAUCCCCGGGCUUAACCUGGGAAUGGCAUUUGGGACUGCAAGGCUGGAGUGUGGCAGAGGAGACUGGAAUUCCUGGUGUAGCAGUGAAAUGCGUAGAUAUCAGGAGGAAUACCGAUGGCGAAGGCAGGUCUCUGGGCUGACACUGACGCUCAUGCACGAAGGCCAGGGGAGCAAACGGG
rnacentral:rRNA from 1 species